rnacentral:rRNA from 2 species
GACGUAGGGGGCGAGCGUUGUCCGGAGUCACUGGGCGUAAAGGGCGCGCAGGCGGUCGCGUGGGCCAUCGCGUGAAAGCCCCCGGCUCAACCGGGCGGUGGCGGGUGGGACCGCGCGGCUGGAGGGUGGUAGGGGCCGGUGGAAUUCCCGGUGUAGUGGUGAAAUGCGUAGAUACCGGGAGGAACACCCGCAGCGAAGGCGGCCGGCUGGGCCAACCCUGACGCUGAGGCGCGAAGGCUCGGGGAGCGAACGGG